rnacentral:misc_RNA from 1 species
GAACUCUUAGUACCCAACUCUUACUUGUACUGUUUCUUCUACUUGUUUUAUCAAAAGGGUUUGUUGUGGGAGAUCUAGUUCGAAAGCCAUUGGGUAGUAGCAGAAGGAGAAACUCCAAUCGGGUACCCGAAUGUGGCAAUUUCGGGUCAAAAUCUGAUUGCUCGCAGAACCAAAAUUGUCGAUGGUGCAGAAGUGUUGUUCUUGAUGACGCUUGUUUCUUCAAAUCUGAAGCUGCUAGAUUACCCUCUCAGAUCUUCACUUGUAAUCUUCUUAGAUUGAGAUAAAAGUUACCUUUUUUUCCAAUUAUGUUGUUUUUUAUCCCUUGAAUUUUGAGUUUUUGGGUGAAGUUCAUUUGAGCUGUGUUAUGAGUGAG